UACGAAGGGGGCUAGCGUUGCUCGGAAUCACUGGGCGUAAAGGGUGCGUAGGCGGCUGCCUAAGUCAGGUGUGAAAUCUCCCGGCUCAACCGGGAAACUGCGCUUGAUACUGGGCGGCUCGAGUGAGGUAGGGGUGUGUGGAACUUCCGGUGGAGCGGUGAAAUGUGUAGAUAUCGGAAGGAACGCCAGCAGCGAAAGCGGCACACUGGGCCUUUUCUGACGCUGAGGAGCGAAAGCAUGGGGAGCGAACAGG
rnacentral:rRNA from 1 species